GGGAUGCUGGUGCAGAAGGCCACUUUGGCUUUUGAUGCCUGCCUUGGCUUCGAAGCAACCUUGGGGGCCCUGCAGACAAGCAGAGGGUGGGGUGAGUGUGGUGCCCCUCAGCCCCCCACACCGUUCCCAUCCAGCCUUUGCUGCCCAGCAGGUGCCCAGACCCAUUUAUGAGAAGACUUGGUAGGGGCUAUAAAUGAGAGGAGAAUUGUAGCACAGAGCAUAAAACAUGAGAUGUUUUCCUCCCAUCUUUUAUUUUUUUAAUUUUUUUUUUUUCAGACAGAGUCUCACUCUGUCACCCAGGCUGGAGUGCAGUGGCCCCAUCUCGGCUCCCUGCAACUUCCGCCUCCCAGGUUCAAGCAACUCUCAUGCCUCAGUCUCCCGAGUAGCCAGGAUUACAGGCACAUGCCACCACGCCCAGCUAAUUUUUGUAUUUUUAGUAGAGACGAAGUUUUGCCAUGUUGGCCAGUCUGGUCUCAAACUCCUGGCCUCAAGUGAUCCACCGCCUCGGCCUCCCAAGGUGCUGGGAUUAUAGGCAUGAGUCACCUCGCCUGGCCCCUCCCAUCUUUUAAAAUCACCUGUGACCAUCCUCACUGAGCUGAGGCCCUCAACCCUUAGCUGGCUUGGUGAGCAGGACAUGGGUGAGGAGGAUGGUCAGGGUUGCACUGGAGGCCUCCCUGGCUCGCCUUCCCUGCCCUCAAAGGGGAUGGCGCCCUGCUGGCCAGGUUGUGUCUGCUCCGGGCUGUGGCCCUGUUUCCCUGAGCAGACUCAGGCAGCCCUGGGGCUGCUCUCUGCGGACCAGGCUCUGUGAGGUAGGCCCUCCACGGCAGAGCGCUGGGCCUCUGCUCGGGCUGAGAAAGGACGUAGGGGCCAGCCUUUAAGGUCAGUCAGUGAACCUUCCGGCUCCAGUCCUGACGGGCAUCCGAGGGCAGAGGGAAGCCGGAAGCAGGGCUGCAGGAGGCCACAGGGAUUCCCGGGGCCCUCCCCCUGCAGCAGGUGCCUUAGCCUGCAGGGGCUGGUCUGCAGGAAGACAACAUCCAGCAUAUAUUUCUGACUUAAAGGAUGAAUUAUUUUUAAAUACCUGGGCAAGGAAGAUCUUUUACAACUCGGGUUUCAAAGGAACUUGUCCUUUAUGCAAGUUAUGGGAAGUCAGCAAAACAUUCCAGAGAAGGUUACACAGAACCUUCUAGAACCAGCUUUCUCUUGAGAUUCUGAAUGGAAAGGGAAUGAGAUAGAGAAAGUGUGAGGGACGCCAACUCACGUGGACAGCAUGCCCAUGGCCUGCUGGGUGGCCAGAGUCCUUUUGUCCUGCGGUCCAUAUAAGAGGGUCUGGAUCUGGAGACACUGUAGAACACCAAGCAGCUAUCAUGAGGCUAUGGAAGUGUCGCUGAGAGCAGGAAACUAAGGUCUCCCUUGAAUGAGAGAAAGAUGACCUCAUUCUUAGGCCCUGCUGUGAUGGAAUUAGCAUGCUCCUGGGAUGUCUCCUAGUGACUGACCUUUGGUUUGGAUGUUCUGAGGGAUCUAGGCAAAAGUGAACAGUUUUAGCACUAUUUCACAAAACUCUCUGUGACUAUCUGUAUGCAAAAAAUAGAUUUAAAAGUAGUAUUUUUAAAAAUAAAGGCAAGAACCUUGGUACUGACCAGAGGAUGGGCUCCAGUUUCUAUUUUUAAAUGUGGCCCUUGUUAUAGCCUGGAAAAGAUUUAAAAAAAUAGUUUUGUUUUUUUUGUAAACACAUACUCUACUUUUAUUAAUAUAUAGGCUGUCUAUACUCUUGACUACACAGCAAUGUCUUAGUUAUUAGGAACCAAAUAUUCAGCUUAUGGACUACCCAGGGCUGGCUUUGGCUUGAUUUCUCCCUUCUGCUUACUUUAAGUCUUGCCAUUUGAUUGCUUGUAGUAGGCUAGGGCAAAUCAAGGAGAGGAGAAAGAUUAAAGUUGUGCCCAAAAUGGCCAAAAUAAUUUUGAGAAAGAAUGAGGUGGAGAGGUGGAGGAACUUGCUUUACUGAAUGCCAAAGACCCUUUUAUUUUUUUAAAUAAAGUAAUUAAGACAGCAUGUUUGUCACCCGGGGUAGACAAAAAGACCAGUGGAACAGGGCAGAGAGCCCAAGCCUUGACAGAUGACAGAAAUGGCCUUGCGGGAUUGGUGAGGAAGAGGUGGGCUAGUCAAUAAAUGGGUACUGGGACCGCUGGUUUUCCAAAUGGAAGAAAAUGGAUCACUACCCCAAAUCAAACACAAAUAUUAAGCUCAAGAAAGAUUUGAAGGACUAAGUGUGAAAUGCAAAACUUGGAGCUUUUAGAUGAAAAUACUGGAAAAUAUAUAUAUAUAUAUUUUUUGAUGGAGUCUCACUCUGUCGCCCAGACUGGAGUGCAAGUGGGGUGAUUUUGGCUCACUGCAACCUCCACCUCCUGGGUUCAUGUGAUUUUCCUGCCUCAGCCUCCCGAGUAGCUGAGAUUACAGGUGCCCGCCACCACACUCAGCUAAUUUUUGCAUUUUUAGUAGAGAUGAGGUUUCACCAUGUUGGCCAGGCUGGUCUCAAACUCCUGACUGCAGGUGAUCCACCUGCCUUGGCCUCCCAAAGUGCGGGGAUUAUAGGAGUGAGCCACCAUGCCUGACCGGAAAAUACGAUCUUGAGGUAGGGAAGUAUUUCUUAGACAAGAUCUAGACAAAGCAAAAGUGAAAGACUGAUAAAAUGUAACUAUGUGAAAACCUAAAAUAUUUGUGCACCAAAAUUCACCAUAAGCAAAGUAGAAAGACAAGCCACGCUGAGGAAAGAUUCUUGCAGUGCACAGAAAUGAGAAAGGUUUAACAUUCAGAAUACAUGAAGAAUUCCUAUAAGGUAAUGAGAAAUACCAAACCAAACCAAAACCUCUCAAUAGAAUAACACUCAAAAGAUAUAAACAGAUUAUUCAAAGAGUUGAAAUCUGAUGAAAUAAACAUGCUUAAUCUCAUUAACAACCAGAAAUACAAACUAAAACCUCAAUGAGGGGGAUCUGUGAAAAUGUGCAGCUGUUACUCAGGGCCAUUUUCAUAGCAGCAUCCUGCAGAAGUAGAUUGGUGGUGUCUCCCUUCCUCCCUUAACCUCCUGCCUAAGGUCCCAGAAUUGCAUCAUAACAUCUAUUGAGGAAUUUCAGAUGAUGAAGGUACUGAUGGAACACAUCCUAUUUAUUCAUGGAGACAGUGCAGCAAGGACUGCAACUAGAGGGUCAUUUAAGUUACAAGGCUACGUGACUCCAUAAUAGAAAAUUGAGAAAAGCAUACUAUUCAUUUCUGGUAAGGUUCCAAGCCAGGCUCGUCAAGCUAUUACUUGUAUUUUGUACUUACAUGAAAUGAAAAAGCUAAAGAAAGGUAAAUUUUAAAAAAUUGCUCUAAUGCUGAGGAUCUGAAAUCACUACUCUUCUUUAUACACAUUAUCCAAUGCCAGAUUACGUCCACGGGGGAGAAAUUACUCAGAAACUUGAAAAUUGUGCUUCUGUUUUCAUGUCAAUUCUCAAGGCUGAUACUAAGAGAAAAGGUGACUUCGGAAGCCUUACUACGUGGAAGCGUGAAAUGUGAUAAAUCUUUCAAGAAAUACAAGUACGCUUUCAUUUACCAACCAUUACAAGGCAGGCAGAAAUGACUAACUUGGGGGAAUUGAAGGAAUAAACCAAAACGUAAUUCAUCAGACAGGCUUCCCCUACAGAAACACAGUCAGGGGUAGUGGGUGGUUUUUCUGAGCCACCCAGAUACCAGCCUCAUCCUGGCUGGACCCACGUCUUUGUCCACAUUCGCCACUUCCUGAAGCAGCUGUCUGCUGAACACCAGCAACACGCCAACCCUGUGGCUACUUCGGGGAUGGAGUGGAGAAUGGGCAGAAGUGAGCCUUGCUCUCAGGGGGCUUCUAAUGGAGUAGCGGAGAAAGAUAUUUUUAAAAUACAUAAAUAAACGUGUCAACAACUUGUGAUAAGAGCUACAAAAGAAAAAAGAAGACGACGGGGCUAUGAAUGAAUACCGGAGGGCCUUGGUGGUGGUCGAUCCAGGGUAGCUGGGCCAGCAGAGGCCUAUGUGAGGAGGUGACACUGGAGUGACACCUGAGGACUGGGGAGUCGGCAGGUGAAAAACAAACAGGGCAGGAUGGGGAUGGAGGGAGGUGGUGGGGAUGGGGGGAGGUGGUGGUGGUGGUGGUGGGCUCACAGGGAGAAGGAAUUCCGAGUGUUUGUUUGAGAGACCACACCCCUGCAUCCUCUUUCUCUCAGUCUAUGUCUCUCUCUCUGUCUCUGUCUCUCUCUCUUUCUUUCUCUGUCUGUCCCUCUCACCCAGCCCUGCAGCUCCCUUACUUGAAGGGACACUGAUCCUAUGACCAGAGGACUGAGGCACUGGUGGGUGGGUAGGGAGCCUCUCAUGAGAGAAACACAGGGAAGGUGGGAAGGGAGAUCCUGGGCUUUGCAGGGAAAUGGGAGAUGAAGGAGAAAGGGGGUGAGGUCCAGCCACUGCCACCCGCACAACUCCUCAGAGCGGACUCUUUCAGAAAGCUCGCCCUGAGUAUCUCCUGGGUGCCAGCCCUGGGGGCAUGGAUGUCAUCCUUGCUGUCUCCCUCACUCCUCACCUCCAGGUUGCCAAGUCCCAUGGGUUCUAAUGUCCUUAUCGACAUCCCUUGACUCCCCCACGACUUUGUUCCAUCCCUUGGCUACUGUACUGGAGCAGGUACCACCAUCCUUCUCCACAACGACUGCAAUACAAAUAUUUAGAAAAUAAAUGCAUUGGCAGGACUUGCUAUUGAGAGAAAUCCUGCUGUGUACCCACAUAGAAAUUAUGGUUUCUUUUUCAAGUGGAGCCGGCUUUUUGUAUAAAAGCUGGAUCUGCCUAUUUCUAAGCCAGCCAAGGCAAGGGAUGCAGACUCCUAAAGCUGGGCCUUCUGAGCUGCCUUCUCUUGGCAAAUUUCCCUAUUACAUGCAGCUCAGCGAUCUGGUUUAGUCCUUCCCGAGUCUGUGCUAUCCACACCAGCCAUCCCUGACCAUUGGUCUUUCAACUUGUUUAAAGUUACACUAGAUUUAUGUAAUAGGAGCUUUUGCUUUUCCCUCCAUCCCUGGCCAUGUACCCAUAAACUCACUGUUUCCAGCGAAGCUCCGAAAAACCGCUAGAGAGCCUCAGGCCAGGAUGGUCUGUCCAGACCCACAGUUCUGCACCUCUCCAGACCUUGUGGGACAAUUGAUGACCCUCUGAGGCACUGUACACUCACUAAGCCAUGGUCAGAGUUCUGAUGUUUGAGGAGCUUUUCCACAGCAAAUGUAGCCUUGUCAGUGGGCAGUCUGUGUACACUACAAAUCAAGUGUUUUUCCAAGGGAUAGCAAACAUGGAGGGGCACUGUGCCUGGGUGCCAUAGCUGGGCGGGCCCAACCUCAGGAGGGUGCCUUUUCCCCACAGCUGAUGAUGCCAGGGAGGCCUGUGGUCAGGAGAACUGGAAUUCUUAUUACCACACAGCCUAUAGUGGGCAAGGGGGGCUCCACAUUCAUUCUUGUUUUUUGAGACGGAGUCUCGCUCUGUUUCCCAGGCUGGAGUGCAGCGGUGUGGUCACGGCUCACUGCAACCUCUGCCUCCCAGGUUCAAGCAAUUCUCCUGCCUCAGCCUCCCAAGUAGCUGAGAUUACAGGCACACGCCACCACACCUGGCUAAUUUUUGUAUUUUUAGUAGAGAUGGGGUUUCACCAUGUUGGCCAGUCUAGUCCUGAACUCUUGACAGGUGGUCCACCCACCUCGGCCUCUCAAAGUGUUGGGAUUAUAGGUGUGAGCCACAGCGCUGGGCCUCCAAAUUCAUUCCUUUUUUUUUUUU
rnacentral:lncRNA from 1 species